UACGUAGGGUGCAAGCGUUAAUCGGAAUUACUGGGCGUAAAGCGUGCGCAGGCGGCUACAUAAGACAGGUGUGAAAUUCCAGGGCUCAACCUUGGAACUGCAUCUGUGACUGUGUGGCUAGAGUACGGCAGAGGGAAAUGGAAUUCCGCGUGUAGCAGUGAAAUGCGUAGAUAUGCGGAGGAACACCAAUGGCGAAGGCAGUUUCCUGGGCCUGUACUGACGCUGAGGUACGAAAGCGUGGGGAGCAAACAGG
rnacentral:rRNA from 1 species